UGACUUUGAUUUUUACGGUCGAAUUCAUAACUUGUCUUGCACUGAAGCCUUGAGCAGUGAGGAAUCGCGUCAAUGUUGCCCGAGAAGUCCACAUGAUUUGAUGCAGGAUCGCAUAGUAAUCCAAGAAAAGAACCUUGCUGACGGUUGCUUCUCCUGGAUAUGCGAUCCUGUAUCCAAUCAUAUAGAGAAGGGGGGAAUAUUUGUUCACCACUGCUACUGGGGCAAUGGGAAUAGGCCUUUUUAACACAUGGGAGUCGCUCAGAGACCGAGCUAGAGUUCUCUUCUCUAGUUAAGGAACGGACUCCCUGGAAUCGGUUCAGCCGUAGAUAGGGACGUUGUUUCCGUAAAGCAUCGCGGUUUCUGUGAUGUCUCGUGUUCUCUGGACGGCCCUUGAAAAACCAAGGAAGGCUAUUAAUCUGUGCUGCAUCGUACCGAUAUCCGCAUCAGGUCUCCAAGGUGAACAGCCUCUAGUCGAUAGAAUAAUGUAGGUAAGGGAAGUCGGCAAAUUAGAUCCGUAACUUCGGGAAAAGGAUUGGCUCCAGUGACCGGGUCGGUUGGCCUGUUAACUGAUGCUUGUGCGGUUUCGUCCGUGGCUGGCUGAUGCUCACGCUGAUGCUGGACUAGUGACAAGACUGCCUUGUGGACGUUUUCAGGUGUGUGCUUUGUUUUCGGACUUAGUAUCCUGACCGACCAUCAAAACGGUCGAACUGGAACUGGUACGGACUCGGGGAAUCCGACUGUCUAAUUAAAACAGAGGAGACAGAUGGUCCUUGCGGACGUUUACUGUCUCUGAUUUCUGCCCAGUGCUCUGAAUGUUAAAUCGUAGUAAUUCGAGUAAGCGCGGGUAAACGGCGGGAGUAACUAUGACUCUCUUAAGGUAGCCAAAUGCCUCGUCAGCUAACUACUGACGCGCAUGAAUGGAUUAACGAGAUUCCCACUGUCCCUAACUACUAUCUAGCGAAACCACAGCCAAGGGAACGGGCUUGGCAAAAAUAGCGGGGAAAGAAGACCCUGUUGAGCUUGACUCUAGUUUGACAUUGUGAAGAGUCAUGAGAGGUGUAGCAUAGGUGGGAGACCUCGGUCGACAAUGAAAUACCACCACUUUCAUCGAUUCUUUACUUAUUCGGUGAGGAGAGAAUUGAGCUCCGGCUCUUUUUUCUUUGUUUUAAGCAAAGCCACCUGGUGGCAUUGCGACUCUCGCCGAAGACAGUGUGUGAACAGCCUCUAGUCGAUAGAAUAAGUGUAGGUAAGGGAAGUCGGCAAAUUAGAUCCGUAACUUCGGGAAAAGGAUUGGCUCCAGUGACCGGGUCGGUUGGCCUGUUAACUGAUGCUUGUGCGGUUUCGUCCGUGGCUGGCUGAUGCUCACGCUGAUGCUGGACUAGUGACAAGACUGCCUUGUGGACGUUUUCAGGUGUGUGCUUUGUUUUCGGACUUAGUAUCCUGACCGACCAUCAAAACGGUCGAACUGGAACUGGUACGGACUCGGGGAAUCCGACUGUCUAAUUAAAACAGAGGAGACAGAUGGUCCUUGCGGACGUUUACUGUCUCUGAUUUCUGCCCAGUGCUCUGAAUGUUAAAUCGUAGUAAUUCGAGUAAGCGCGGGUAAACGGCGGGAGUAACUAUGACUCUCUUAAGGUAGCCAAAUGCCUCGUCAGCUAACUACUGACGCGCAUGAGGGGGCGAUGAUAGCCGCCUUCUCGUGGCGCCCCUGAACACUACACUUCGGUGUGGUGACUAAGGCUAUCGCACUUCGGGUGUAGGUGAUUACACCUGAUGCGUACCGUGCAAGAUUGGUUCAGAAAUUUCAACCUAGAGUUGAUACUCUUAAUCGAGCAAAGCUCUGAAAUGGAGCAUUCCUCUCUUCUUAAGAGAGAGGAACAUUAUUCUUAACUGAGAACAAGCUCCGGAAUGGAGCAUCUAAUAACUUUCUGAGAUGUGAUUAGCUCAAGUUGCCGUAAGUCCCGUAUCGACCUUUGCGUCUAGGGCUAAAUGGUAACUGUUCUCAGUGGCUUGUUCACUGUGGACGCGAGAUAGCGAAGCACAUCAAGGGGAGUACACAAGGGAACUUGUGGUCAAAUAUGCCACUCCCGCAAGGAGAAGUGGUAAACCUGAUGUAAAUGUCGAGCGUGGCUCCGUUCCAACAACACAGCGUAGGCACACACGAGGUGCACUCCAUGAUCGGCUUGUUCGGUUAUGGGGAUCUGUGGUCUGUGGAUGCAUUUACAUCGGGUGACACAGAGCUGUCAGUUGCAUAGCAAUAAUAAAGAGCGCUUGCUCCAAAGCGCAACGUGAUGUAAGAGUUUAAAAGGAAGUGAUAGCUUCAACUUUCACCUCCACUCUUGCUGCAGAGAAAUCUGAAAUAUGGAGGGUAGUUCAACGUGUUGAUCUAUAGGCCUCUAAAGGGAGCUAAUGAAUUUAUCGCCUCGAAGGCUCCCUAGUGGGACAGCCGGACGCUAAAUCCGAUGCAACCCAUGGCACUGAAGGAAAAUUACGGUAAGCU
rfam:Haemonchus contortus, ISE/inbred ISE, WGS project CAVP01000000 data, contig: Hcontortus_38253